GGUUAGAAAGUUUCGUGAAUUCACAGGCUCUAUCUUGUGGUAUGAACUGAGUACACGGUGAUUAUGGUGAGUAUGGGUCUUACCAUAAGUCAAGGUCGUGAAUUCGUGAAACUUUCAAACC
rnacentral:pre_miRNA from 1 species